GGGCUCAUGGCCUAGUGGUAUGGCGUUCGCUUGACGUGCGAAAGGUCCCCGGUUCGAAUCCGGGUGGGCCCA
rnacentral:tRNA from 1 species